GACGAACGCUGGCGGCGUGCCUAAUACAUGCAAGUCGAACGCACUGACGUCGACAGAAGGUGCUUGCACUGGAAGUUGAUUGACGCGAGUGGCGGACGGGUGAGUAACACGUGAGUAGCCUGCCCUUAAGCGGGGGAUAACAUUUGGAAACAGAUGCUAAUACCGCAUAAAAGUUGAGAUCACAUGGUCUUAAUUUGAAAGACGGCCUUUGGCUGACACUUACGGAUGGACCCGCGGCGUAUUAGCUAGUUGGUGAGACAAUAGCCCACCAAGGCGAUGAUACGUAGCCGACCGGAGAGGGUAAUCGGCAACAGUGGGACUGAGACACGGCCCAAACUCCUACGGGAGGCAGCAGUAGGGAAUCUUCCACAAUGGACGAAAGUCUGAUGGAGCAACGCCGCUUGAGUGAAGAAGGUUUUCGGAUCGUAAAACUCUGUUGUUGGAGAAGAACAGGGACUAGAGUAACUGUUAGUCCUUUGACGGUAUCCAACCAGAAAGCCACGGCUAACUACGUGCCAGCAGCCGCCGUAA
rnacentral:rRNA from 1 species